rnacentral:tRNA from 1 species
UAGCUCAGUUGGUAGAGUGCUUGCCUUGCAUACACGAGGCCCUGGGUUCAAUUCCCAG